AGAAGGAGCGUGCGCCCAACGAUCGGGCAGAAGGAGCGUGCGCCCAAGAUCGGGCAGAAGGAGCGUGAGCCCAGCGAUCGGGCAGAAGGAGCGUGAGCCCAAUGAUUGGGCAGAAGGAGUGUGCUCCCAACGAUCGGGCAGAAGGAGCGUGUGCCCAUGAUCGGGCAGAAGGAGCGUGUGCCCAUGAUCAGGCAGAAGGAGUGUGCUCCCAAUGAUCAGGCAGAAGGGGUGUGCUCCCAACGAUCAGGCAGAAAGAGUGUGCUCCCAACGAUCAGGCAGAAGGAGCGUGCUCCCAAUGAUCAGGCAGAAGGAGUGUGCUCCCAUGAUCAGGCAGAAGGAGUGUGCUCCCAACGAUCAGGCAGAAGGAACGUGCGCCCAUGAUCAGGCAGGAGUGUGCUCCCAACGAUCAGGCAGAAGGAGUGUGCUCCCAAUGAUCGGGCAGAAGGAGUGUGCUCCCAUGAUCAAAGGCAGCCACUCCAGCCCUGGCUUUCCUUCCUCCAGAUUCCCUUCACAUGAGAGUAAAACAAACCUUUAACUUACUAUAAACUUAUUAUAAAUUGGUUUCUUUGAAUUUGCAGUCAUAUGCCAUCCAACAUAAUCCCAGGUCAGUUAGCACAGAUGCCCCCUAGAAAAGCCAGAUGUGGAAGUGGAGACACCUUUCCCAGGGCUACGGGGAUUCUUACCCCACUCACCAAUGUCCCUCUUGCAUUCCUGGCCCCUAUCUCUUCUUCCAUGUAACCCUUUCUGUAAAACUGAUUAGGUAAAAAUCGAUUAGGUCUGUAGAAAAUGGGCAAGGGCAUCAUUUCCCUUACCUGGUUUAUAAAGAUAAAAAAUUGGUACACUCCUCAAAGAAAAAAAAAUAAGAGGGAGCCACCACAUUUGGAAAUCCACAGCUGACAAGUAAAGUAGUAGCAAUCCUUUUACACAUGAAAGGUGCAGUUUGCGGAUUGUAAGGUCAUCGUACUCGGUGUUUAUGGCCAAUUUAAUAUCCGCUCACUGCAAGUGGAAUGAGGCAGGAAGCAGAAACUGUGGCCAGUUUUUUCAUCACUGUGUCCCCAGGGCUUGGCAGAGAGACUGGCCCAUGGUCAGGGCUCAAUAAGGAUUUGCUGAAUGAAUAAAUGGAUGGAUAAAUACUAAUCUUUUUAUGUUUAAACUGAUGCUUCCUCUCAUUAUAGUAAAGCCAUCAAGGGAAUAGUCAAUGAAUGGUCUCAGGGAAUGGCGAGUAUUUGUCACAUUGUCCCAUUCCCCAAACUGCAGGCUUCCCCAGAACUGUCAUGAGAGCAUCACCUUAGGCCUUCUCGCCCACUCCUCACAUUACAUGUAAUCUGGGCCACAUCGUUUAACCUCUCAAGGUCCCCAUGUUGCAAAAUAAAAGUUGAAGGAAGCGA
rnacentral:lncRNA from 10 species